rnacentral:lncRNA from 1 species
UGCUUUCCAACCGACGUUCCUUACAAUUUUGGAACUAUUGGCGAUGAUCUAGAUGGAGGUAUCAAUUUGUUUAAGUAAUUUUCAUUUAAUUGUUUUAUUACUUUUUCUAUAUAUGUCUUCCAUUUGUCGCCGGUAUCUAGAUUUCUUUCUCUCUCCAACAUCACGUUUCUUUUCAUCUUCUAGUUUUUCAAUUCAGCUUCUAUUUCUCUAUAUUUUUCCAUAAAGUUUCUAUUCUUUAUUUGUCUUCCAGUAACAUCAGCAACAGUUUUAGGGUUUUUUUUAAUUCAGUUUCUCUUUCUCAAUUCAGUUGGCGCGACAGGCGGCGAUCGGCGAGGAGACUGGCAAAGCAAGAAGAAAGAAAAGGGAGAAGAUUUUGGCAAACGGUGCAAGGGCCUCUAAUUUAUUUAGGGAAUCUUCUAAUUAAAUUUGGUUACAUUUCAUAUUAUGCCUUUUUUGUUCUGAAUUUUCAGUUUUGGGAUUUCCAAGCUCCAUUCAAGAAGUCAGUUGGGCCUCCGAGAAGAUCACCUCUAGAUGGUAAAUUUGAUUGCAACUUCACCUUUAUCACCUUUAUUUUUCUUCUUCUUUUUCUUGAUAUGCAUCCAUUAGUGCGCUAACCUUUUUGUUGCUUGAUGGAAAUAAGUUCUGUAUGUGUGGUUCUUUGCAAUUGUGCACAUAAUUACAAAAUAUUAUCCCAUAUAAUGAAGUAGAUUUGCUCAGUUAUAUGAGUGAAGUAGAAGUGAAGUAGAAGUCCUGGAAUUCUUGCCAUUGGUGAUUAUUUGAAAGUUAUUUCUCUUUUAGCUUCUCUUUCUCUCUCUCUCUCUCUUUCCGGCAGUCUUCUUCCUUCAAGGUCUGCAGCUUCUUCUCAAUCUUUAAUGCUGGCAGAUUCGCCCUUCAAUGUCAUAGCUUCUUUUCUACAAGCUUCUUGCUUUAAAUUUGCAGAUUUUGUGGUUCGUUGGAAUAUAAAGAAGAGCAACAUUAUUGCUAUCUUUUUUUUAUUGUUCUUUUGACAUGUACUAAGGGCUUUGAGCAUAAUUAUUGGUAUCUUUUCUUUUUCCUCUCAUUAUAUCUUGUGUUCCAUAGCCUUCAAACUUUGUACGAAUUAUGAUUUUUUUGUUCGGUGAACUGCUAGAAUUUACUAUCUGGAAUUUGUUGAGCAGCUUUCCUUCUUAAUUAUUUUAAAUUUGAAUGGGUUUUACAUCAGCAUUUUAUGGUGCCUGAAACUAAAAAUUUAUGUUUUCGAAGGUAUCUGCGUUGAAUGAGGCUGUUUCUAGAAGUGUGAAGUUGGUGUUCAAAGCUUUGGAGCAGCGGCUUAACUCUCCAGAGGUACUCCAAUGAUUUGCUGAGUUUUGGUUAUUGAUACGUUUUUCCAUGAAUUGAAGAUAUUAGUUCAUGUUUAAGCCGUGAAAUAUGCUUGAUAUUUCUUUGUCAUGUUUUUCUUUCCCCCUGGAUUAGUAACACUUAGUAUGGAUUAACAAGGUGUUAGUUGAUAUGGAUCUCUCUUCUAUUUUUUUUUUUUUUCUCAAUUAGAUGAUUGCAGAAGCUUUUCUUUCUCUUUUUCUGCAAUUAUUG